UACGGAGGGUGCAAACGUUGCUCGGAAUUACUGGGCGUAAAGCGUGCGCAGGCGGUUUUGUAAGUUUGUCGUGAAAGCCCCGGGCUCAACCUGGGAAUUGCGAUGAAGACUGCAAGGCUUGAAUCUGGCAGAGGGGGGUAGAAUUCCACGUGUAGCAGUGAAAUGCGUAGAGAUGUGGAGGAACACCGAUGGCGAAGGCAGCCCCCUGGGUCAAGAUUGACGCUCAUGCACGAAAGCGUGGGGAGCAAACAGG
rnacentral:rRNA from 1 species